CCUUUGACAAUUUCAUCGUCUAACUUUAUGCAACGAAAAAAUUUCCCUAAUUUGUGGACAAAUUAAGUUAUUUUAAAUUUUCCAUGAUGGAUGAAGUAAAAAUGUUUUGAUAAUAAAUUGUUAAAAUGAUUGUAAUUGCAAUAGGGAAAAAUAUUCGAUUCUUGAUAUCAUCGUUGGAUUUGACAAGGCAUCGUAAUCGAUUUAUGAUGGAUCGAUCGUCGAUCAAAGUAGUAUGACAAUAACAUAAUAAUUAGUAUCCAUAAGACAAUAGUUUCGUACAUAAUGCUUAGACGAAACCGGUUUUCAGGUAGAUUAUUCCUUAUCGAAACGAAAUGAGUAAUUCUUUCUACGCAGAAUUCUAGUUGAUCAUAGCCAAUAUACUUUUUUUGCCACUUGAAGAAAAGAAAAAAAAAAGUAAGAUAAAUGUUAACCUGAACGACCCAGUAAACCAGAAUUCUAACUGUGUCAACAGGCAAGAUUAUGCACGCAUACGCAUCCGGCAAUAUAGUUUCUAAUAACUCGUCACUUACGCCCUUCUUCGAUACACGUAUGCAUAAGCGGAAAAGGGGACGUCGAUCGAUGAUGAUAACACGUAACAUCGUGUUGAUUAGAUGAAUUGAAGAAUUGUGAGACAGGUGGAUUAAAUUAUCUCAAUUUUGGCCAAUUUAAUGCUUAAUCCUUCUUUCAAUUUAAUUGUAACGAGUUUAAAUGUUAAGUGAUGAAUGGAAGAAAUGUUUUGAUGAGGCAUACUGGAUUCAGGUUAUGUUCGGUUAACUGUUAAUCAUGGCGAUAACUUGGUUGAUUCUGAAACUGAUGCAAAUAUUCAAGAUAAGUGAGGCUUGCUGGAAAGAUGCUGAAAUUGAGAUUUAGAAAUAUAAACAGUGAUUGAAAAAGUAUCAAUGAAUCAAGUGCAAUUGAAUACAUUUGUAUUUGUGAAACUAUUAUGGAUUACCAAAGAACAAUACUUUUCUGUGUAAACUUGGUGAAGUGAAAUAUGGAAAUAAAGAAAAUUUAUUUUCUUAUUUUCUGCACUUUCUAUUGUUUCCACAUUAGCAUGUGGAUUCCACACUUCUUUAGUGACGCUUCAACGAAUGAUUGUUUAUAGAGAUCGAUCAUACAAUGAAACCUAACCUGUAAAUAAAAAUUAUAUUUUUCAUCAAAAUAAGAAUAGAAUUA